rnacentral:rRNA from 1 species
ACCCGUUGAUCCUGCGGGAGAUUGCUGCUAUUCGGAUUCGACUUAGCCAUGCAAGUCUAGGGGGCACUUGUGUCACCGGCAAAAUGCUCAGUAACACGUUACUAAUCUGCCCAUUGGUCAGGGAUAGCCUCGGGAAACUGAGGGUAAAACCUGAUAGGACAUGAGAUCUGGAAUGGCUCAUGACUCAAAGGUUACGCCAAUGGAUGAGGUAGCGGCUGAUUAGCUAGUUGGUAGGGUAAUGGCCUACCAAGGCGAUGGUCAGUAGGGGCCAUGAGAGUGGUAGCCCCGAGGGGGUCACUGAGAUACUGGACCCAGCCCUACGGGGUGCAGCAGGCGCGGAACCUUUACAAUGCACGAAAGUGUGAUAAGGGGAUCCGAAGUGCUUAUGGUUUCCAUAGGCUUUUUUUCAAGACUAAAUCUCUUGGAGAAUAAGUGGUGGGCAAGACUGGUGCCAGCAGCCGCGGUAACACCAGCGCCACAAGUGGCAAUCGCAUAUUGGGCCUAAAGCGUCCGUAGUCGGCUUUGUAAAUCUCUUGUGAAAUUGGCUUGCUUAACAAGUCAGCGUGCGAGAGACACUACACUGCUUGGAACCGGGAGGAGUUAGAGGUAUUUCGGGGGGAACGGUAAAAUGUGAUAAUCCUCGAAGGACCACCUGUGGCGAAGGCGUCUAACUAGAACGGAUUCGACGAUGAGGGACGAAGGCUAGGGGAGCAAACCGGAUUAGAUACCCGAGUAGUCCUAGCAGUAAACUCUGUGAGCUAGGUGUUGUGCAAUCUUUACGAUUGUGCAGUAUCGAAGCGAAGGCAAUAAGCUCACCGCCUGGGAAGUACGGUCGCAAGACUGAAACUUAAAGGAAUUGGCGGGGGAGCACUACAACGGGUGCGGCGUGCGGUUUAAUCUAACUCCACACAGAGAAUCUCACCAGAGGCGACGGCAGGAUGACAGUCAGUCUGAAGGGCUUACUUGACGAGCCGAGAGGUAGUGCAUGGCCGCCGUCAGCUCGUGCCGUGAGGUGUCCUGUUAAGUCAGGCAACGAGCGAGACCUACGUCCACUAUUGACAGCAGGCAUUUUUGUGACUGGUCACAUUGUGGGGACUGCCCGUGAAAGCGGGAGGAAGGUGUAGGCAACGGUAGGUCUGUAUGCUCCGAAUCUUCUGGGCUACACGCGCGCAACAAUGGCUGUGACAAUGGGAUGCUACUCCGAAAGGAGGCGCUAAUCCUCGAAACGCGGUCUUAGUACAGAUCGAGGGUUGUAACUCACCCUCGUGACGCUGGAAUCCGUAGUAAUCAGAGUUUAUCAGACUCUGGUGAAUACGUCCCUGCUCCUUGCACACACCGCCCGUCAAACCACUCGAGUAAAGUUUAAGUGAGGCUUAGGUUAUUACUUAAUUCAAACUUAGGCUUUGUGAGAUGGGUUAAGUCGUCACAAGGUA